AAUGAAAACUUAAACUAGUCAUGCAGAGCUAUUUAAUGUUUGGACAAUCAACCUAAAAGGCAACACCUGGGCAACAAGAAACAUCAGUCACCUGUUCCAAUAGUUUUGCUCACUAGAAAAAUGGGUGAGUUUAAAGUUGUUUACCACAUCUAGAUGUAAAUACCAGGAAAUGAGAGCUGAAGUUCUGAACUCUUGUCUCAUACUCAUCUUUUGAUCUUAAAUCCAAAUGUCUUCAGUGAACAACAAAAACAAAGGAAUUUGCCUUACCGUUACAGUACUUUUGGAGGGGACUGUAUGCCUCACAGUCUGUAAAUCUGCAAGUGUGCAGAUUGGCAUUGGGCCUCUGAAUGACAAAAGACUUUCUUAGUAAUGGCAGAAUGUGGAUAUUUCUUUUGGGUUUUUGUUGUAUUAGUAUUUUCAGUAUUUUACUGUUUGUUUAAUUUGUACUUUGUCAUUAUUGAUUGUUAGGUUUAUUUUUAAACUGUAUGGAGUUAUGUCUGUGAAGAUUCUCAGAAAUCCAGGUCAUAGUUAUCCAAGGAAGGUUAACUCAAGGGCAACUGUACUUGGUUGAAGAUACUUGAAAACAUUUCACCUCUCAUCCAAGGUGCUUCAGGGAAUCCAGCUAUUCAACCUCUGUGGGGUCGUUAACAAGGUGAGGCAUACUACUUGGUUCGUUAGGGCUCCUGGCUGUUGUAACAACAGUCGUUAUGAGUGUUAGAGUCACCGUCGGAAAAGUGUGAGGGUUUGUUCAGUCUGUUUGGGAAGGGAUGACAGGACAUCAUUGUAGGUGGGGGAUAAGUGGUGUCGCAGACCUCGUCCCCUGUUGAGAGAUGGUUUCGCUACUUUGGUGUAGAUUUAUUUCCUACAAUGCUCUUUCAAACCACCAGUCCUCCCAAUCCAGAAUCUGAACAUUGUUUUCCUCGGAAGUAUGUCCUUUGUCCUUCAAAUGUAAGUAAACCACUGGGUCUUGACCUGAGGAGUUGGCCCCUCUGUGUUGAGCCAUGCGUUUGUGUAGUGGUUGUUUAGUUUUACUAAUAUACAGUUCUGUGCAUUCCUCACUGCACUGGACAGCAUACACUAGAUUGCAUUUCUUGUGUUUGGUUGUGCAGACUUUAAGGUGGACCAGUAUUUGAUUUUGGGUUUAAAAAACACAGGGGUGUGGUGUUUGCUGAAGAUCCUCCUGAGUUUCUUUGAUACACCAGACAGGUUCAGUUUGGAUAUCCACAAGGUUUAAAUACCUUCAGAUCCUUCUCUUUGGCUUGGGCACUUGUUGGUAUCAUAGACUGUAUGGUUGGUAUGAUAUCAGAUAGGUGGUGUAUGGAGUUAUGUCCCCCCCUUGUUUGUGUAGGCUAGCCUAUUAUGUAUCCUUCUUUUUGUGUCAUUCAUUAGGUCAAAUUUGAAGUUCAGACUUCCGUUGCAUUACUGUUUUUUUGCAAUCUAGUUAAAUACCUGUUUUCUUUGCUUAUGUGUUUUAAACAUUUACAGCUCUAUUGAUUGAAUGUUUUAUUUGGCUAAAUAAAGCCUUAACUUUCACAUAUUAUCCUUGUCUCUCGACCUUUGCUGCCUGGUUCCCUAACACUCUGUUGGAGCUGAGAUGAAGCUGGCCAACUGAUGAGCACAGCUUUGGGGAAAACACAAUUUCUUCUUCCUACCAGUGGAUGUGUGUUGUGGAAUAAAAAAGAAUUUUGAGUUAUGCACAUCAAAGCACAACAUGUAGAUAAUUGAAGGGGUGUUGUGUGCUGGCUAAAUUCA